rnacentral:tRNA from 1 species
GGAGAGGUGGCUGAGCUGGCCUAAGGCGCACGAUUGGAAAUCGUGUAGACGUUAAUAGCGUCUCAAGGGUUCGAAUCCCUUCCUCUCCGCCA